GUCUGUGGCCAUGCCACCCUGAACAAGCCCAAUGUCUGAUCUCGGAAGCUAAGCAGGGUGGGGCUUGGUUAGUAUUUGGAUAAGAGACCACCUAGGAAGACCAGGUGCUGUAGGCA
rnacentral:rRNA from 1 species